UACGAAGGGUGCAAACGUUGCUCGGAAUUAUUGGGCGUAAAGCGCACGUAGGCGGCUUAGCAAGUUGGAUGUGAAAUCCCUCGGCUCAACCAAGGAAGUGCAUCCAAAACUGCUGAGCUUGAGUACUUAAGAGGAUCGCGGAAUUCCCGGUGUAGAGGUGAAAUUCGUAGAUAUUCGCAAGAACACCAGUGGCGAAGGCGGCUCACUGGCCCGAUACUGACGCUGAGGUGCGAAAGCGUGGGGAGCAACAGG
rnacentral:rRNA from 1 species